rnacentral:lncRNA from 13 species
CGGAGCCAAAGACAAAGUAUCACUGCAGAGGAGUUGCCGAGUGCUCAUUGGCCAUCCUCUCCGCUACGGUCGACCAGAACAGCGCUGAUGAAGUAGAAGACGGAAGGAGAGGGAGCAAGAAGAGGAAGCAAAGAAAGGAAGCAAGGAGAGGAAGCCACUUUAGACCAACGAGAUGUUGGCCCUACCCCCAACCUAGUCAUCCGGGGCCUCUUCAGAUACUACAGCAGACGACUGGACAUCGAAACCACCAAGGACAGUUUGGGAAAGAGAGAAUUGCACCAGUGGUGCACCACCGAAACCUCCCAAACAGUUGUCUGUUUCCCUGGCACCCAAUCUAAUAAUGACGGAGGUGGUAAUAGUGUUUAUGGAGAAUGAACAGAAAAUACCAGUGUUACCAGACUGGUGAGCAUUUACCAAGGUAAUAAAACACAGGGCUGUUUAGCUCCCCAACUGUUGAGGUAGCAAAAUAGCUUGUCUCCCAUUCUGUAAUUCAACAACAAUUCCUGUAAAGGUGUUUUGAAGCGGUGUGGUGGGCUAGUAUGAGCCUGGGUGUUGGGUAACCAGGGACAAGCGCAGCGGAGCGGUUUAGCGUCAUUUACACCUGAUAAAAACUGGGCCUUAACUGGAAGCCGCAGGUCUGUCUGGAAUGGGGUUCUCGAGCUGAUACACACAGAGGAGACAUACAGGAACAUCAAGUCUAACACACACAGACCCAUGGCCAAAAUAGAUGCACACACAGAAACACAGUGCUGCUAGUUCAUUUACGGCACCUAACUACCUGUCUAAUCUAAGCCAGGUCUAAUUGGUAGCUUUAAGCCCGCAGUGGGCCCUUUAUCCACUAUAGGCCUGCGGUGAAAAGGUUUACAGCAUAAACAUCUGCAGAACACAGGGACAUUCUCCAUCACCAAGGGAGCUGCAUCCUGUAGUCGAGCUCCGGGGGGGGGGGGACGUUUCAAUAACAGCUAUAGGUUGAGACAGAGAAUACGAAGAAAAUAAAAGUAUUGAUUUCUAAAUGGUAGGCCUACCUAAAACCUUCAUCAACUCAACCAAAUUAUUAUUUUUGCAAUAUAUGACAUGUAUUUAUUAGACUGUUAGAAUGCAUCGGCUCAGAACAGAUUACUAGAUGCAUACUUUUUUAGUGUCAGAUAUACACAAUAUUGUAUGACAAGAUCCAGCUAAAAAAAUACCAUAUGCAUUUCAGCUAAAAUAACAAGCCAAUGUUGAUCUCCCAGGAAAAGUUAGCUAGCAAUAGCAAGCUAGCUAAAUGUUUCAUGUGUUUUUGCCAUGCCCCAAAACUAAUAAAGUUGGUUUUGAUUUUUCAACCUGCGUGU